AUUUAUAUAGUUUAAUUAAAACAUUACAUUUUCAUUGUAAAAUUAAAUUUUUUUUUGUAAAUA
rnacentral:tRNA from 1 species